CGCCUACGGGGGGCAGCAGUAGGGAAUUUUCGUCAAUGGGCGCAAGCCUGAACGAGCGAUGCCGCGUGAGUGAAGAAGGCCUUCGGGUCGUAAAGCUCUGUUGCGGGGGAAAAAAGGCAGCAUCAGGAAAUGGGUGCUGACUGAUGGUGCCCCGCCAGAAAGUCACGGCUAACUACGUGCCAGCAGCCGCGGUAAUACGUAGGUGGCAAGCGUUGUCCGGAAUUACUGGGCGUAAAGGGCGCGUAGGUGGGUGCUUAAGUCAGGUGUGAAAACUCUGGGCUCAACCUGGAGACUGCACUUGAAAC
rnacentral:rRNA from 1 species